rnacentral:rRNA from 1 species
AUUGAACGCUGGCGGCAGGCCUAACACAUGCAAGUCGAGCGGAUGAAGGGAGCUUGCUCCUGGAUUCAGCGGCGGACGGGUGAGGAAUGCCUAGGAAUCUGCCUGGUAGUGGGGGAUAACGUCCGGAAACGGGCGCUAAUACCGCAUACGUCCUGAGGGAGAAAGUGGGGGAUCUUCGGACCUCACGCUAUCAGAUGAGCCUAGGUCGGAUUAGCUAGUUGGUGGGGUAAAGGCCUACCAAGGCGACGAUCCGUAACUGGUCUGAGAGGAUGAUCAGUCACACUGGAACUGAGACACGGUCCAGACUCCUACGGGAGGCAGCAGUAGGGAAUAUUGGAAAAUGGGCGAAAGCCUGAUCCAGCCAUGCCGCGUGUGUGAAGAAGGUCUUCGGAUUGUAAAGCACUUUAAGUUGGGAGGAAGGGCAGUAAGUUAAUACCUUGCUGUUUUGACGUUACCAACAGAAUAAGCACCGGCUAACUUCGUG